rnacentral:rRNA from 1 species
CGUAGGGGCCAAGCGUUGUCCGGAUUUAUUGGGCGUAAAGAGCUCGUAGGCGGUUCGGUAAGUCGGCGGUGAAAUCUCCACGCUCAACGUGGAGGGGUCCGUCGAUACUGCUGUGACUCGCGUCCGGUAGGGGAGAGUGGAAUUCCCGGUGUAGCGGUGAAAUGCGCAGAGAUCGGGAGGAACACCCGUAGCGAAGGCGGCUCUCUGGGCCCGUGACUGACGCUGAGGAGCGAAAGCGUGGGGAGCAAACAGGAUUAGAUACCCUGGUAGUCCACGCCGUAAACGUUGGGCACUAGGUGUGGGGUUCUAUCGACGGACUCCGUGCCGUAGCUAACGCAUUAAGUGCCCCGCCUGGGGAGUACGGCCGCAAGGCUA